GCCUGGGUGGCUCAAUGGUUGAGCAUCUGCCUUUGGCUCAGGACAUGAUCCUGGAGACCUGGGAUUGAGUCCCACAUCAGGCU
rnacentral:tRNA from 1 species